UACGUAGGGGCAAGCGUUGUCCGGAAUCAUUGGCGUAAAGCGCGUGUAGGCGGCUGAGUAAGUCUGCUCUGAAAGCCCGGGCUCAACCCCGGGAGGCGGGUGGAUACUGCUCAGCUCGAGUCCGGAAGAGGAGUGUGGAAUUCCUGGUGUAGCGGUGAAAUGCGCAGAUAUCAGGAGGAACACCAAUGGCGAAGGCAGCACUCUGGGACGGUACUGACGCUGAGACGCGAAAGCGUGGGAGCAAACAGG
rnacentral:rRNA from 1 species